rfam:Lupinus angustifolius cultivar Tanjil chromosome LG01, whole genome shotgun sequence.
UAAAGAAUGGUAGAGUUUUUAACAGUGGCUCUUCUAUCGUUUUGAACAUUGAGGUAUAACAAUAUGGCUAGUCAUCGUUUCGGGCGUCAUUAUUGGCGUAUCGAUUGUUUCUCGUCUACAU